AGUGAACGCUGGCGGCGUGCUUAACACAUGCAAGUCGAACGAGAACGGAUUAUAGCUUGCUAUAAUUGUCAGCUAAGUGGCGCACGGGUGAGUAAUAUAUAGGUAACGUGCCCCAAAGAAGAGGAUAACAGAUGGAAACGUCUGCUAAGACUCUAUAUGCCUUUAUGACAAAAGUCAGCAAGGGAAAUAUUUAUAGCUUUGGGAUCGGCCUGUACAGUAUCAGUUAGUGGUGAGGUAAUGGCUCACCAAGACAAUGACGCUUAACUGGUUUGAGAGGAUGAUCAGUCACACUGGAACUGAGACACGGUCCAGACUCCUAC
rnacentral:rRNA from 1 species